UGGGGAAUAUUGGACAAUGGGCGCAAGCCUGAUCCAGCCACGCCGCGUGAGUGAUGAAGGCCUUCGGGUCGUAAAGCUCUGUGGGGAGGGACGAAUAAACUGCGGGUAAAUAAUCCGCGGCCACGACGGUACCUCCUUAGCAAGCCCCGGCAAACUUCGUGCCAGCAGCCGCGGUAAUACGGGGGGGGCAAACGUUGCUCGGAAUCACUGGGCGUAAAGCGUGUGUAGGCGGUCCAACUUGUCGAAUGUGAAAUACCUUGGCUUAACCAAGGAACUGCAUUGGAAACGGUUGGACUUGAGUACCGGAGGGGAUGACGGAAUUCCCGGUGUAGUGGUGAAAUACGUAGAUAUCGGGAGGAACACCUGUGGCGAAGGCGGUCAUCUGGACGGAUACUGACGCUGAGUACACGAAAGCGUGGGGAGCAAACAG
rnacentral:rRNA from 1 species